rnacentral:rRNA from 1 species
GGGUUGUGAGGUUAAGCGACUAAGCGUACACGGUGGAUGCCCUGGCAGUCAGAGGCGAUGAAGGGCGUGCUAAUCUGCGAUAAGCGCCGGUAAGGUGAUAUGAACCGUUAUAACCGGCGAUACCCGAAUGGGGAAACCCAGUGUGACUCGUCACACUAUCAUUAACUGAAUCCAUAGGUUAAUGAGGCGAACCGGGGGAACUGAAACAUCUAAGUACCCCGAGGAAAAGAAAUCAACCGAGAUUCCCCCAGUAGCGGCGAGCGAACGGGGAGGAGCCCAGAGCCUGAAUCAGCAUGUGUGUUAGUGGAAGCGUCUGGAAAGGCGCGCGAUACAGGGUGACAGCCCCGUACACAAAAGCGCAUGUGCUGUGAGCUCGAUGAGUAGGGCGGGACACGUGGUAUCCUGUCUGAAUAUGGGGGGACCAUCCUCCAAGGCUAAAUACUCCUGACUGACCGAUAGUGAACCAGUACCGUGAGGGAAAGGCGAAAAGAACCCCGGCGAGGGGAGUGAAAAAGAACCUGAAACCGUGUACGUACAAGCAGUGGGAGCCCCACCACCAAAGCAUUCUCUGGUGUUGAAGGCCCUGCAAAGCAGCAUCGCGGUGGCGGAGCGUCGUUUGCGACGCCCAACACACAAAACAAGCGGUGAAUGCUUUGGGGUGGGGUGACUGCGUACCUUUUGUAUAAUGGGUCAGCGACUUAUAUUCUGUAGCAAGGUUAACCGAAUAGGGGAGCCGGAGGGAAACCGAGUCUUAAUUGGGCGUUAAGUUGCAGGGUAUAGACCCGAAACCCGGUGAUCUAGCCAUGGGCAGGUUGAAGGUUGGGUAACACUAACUGGAGGACCGAACCGACUAAUGUUGAAAAAUUAGCGGAUGACCUGUGGCUGGGGGUGAAAGGCCAAUCAAACCGGGAGAUAGCUGGUUCUCCCCGAAAGCUAUUUAGGUAGCGCCUCGUGAAUUCAUCUCCGGGGGUAGAGCACUGUUUCGGCUAGGGGGCCAUCCCGGCUUACCAACCCGAUGCAAACUGCGAAUACCGGA